CCUACGGGAGGCAGCAGUGAGGAAUAUUGGUCAAUGGACGAGAGUCUGAACCAGCCAAGUAGCGUGAAGGAUGACUGCCCUAUGGGUUGUACACUUCUUUUAUAAAGGAAUAAAACUAAGCACGUGUACCUUUUUGUCUGUACCUUAUGAAUAAGGAUCGGCUAACUCCGUGCCAGCAGCCGCGGUAAUACGGAGGAUCCGAGCGUUAUCCGGAUUUAUUGGGUUUAAAGGGAGCGUAGUUGGGUUGUUAAGUCAGUUGUGAAAGUUUGCGGCUCAACCGUAAAAUUGCAAUUGAUACUGGCAGUCUUGAGUACAGUAGAGGUAGGCGGAAUUCGUGGUGUAGCGGUGAAAUGCUUAGAUAUCACGAAGAACCCCGAUUGCGAAGGCAGCUUACUAAACUGUGACUGACAUUGAUGCUCGAAAGUGUGGGGAUCAAACAGGAUUAGAGACCCCAGUAGUC
rnacentral:rRNA from 1 species